rnacentral:rRNA from 1 species
AUGUCGUGCGCGCAAAGAGCACGGUGGUCGCGGAGACGAGGAGGCCGCAGAGGACUUGCGUGGUGGUGCAGAGGUCGCGGCGGCUCGGCGCGACAACCGUGGAGGCGCGUGGCACGGAGCCGCGGCGGCCGCGGCGGACCUGCGUGGUGGCGCAGAGACUGCGGUGGCGCGGCGUGGCGGCAUGGAGGUGCAAACGCAGCGGUGCAGGGCAAUAAGCCGCGGCGGCGAGCCGGGCGCGACCGGUGCGUGUUAUGGGUGCGCACUGGACGCGUCGGGCGCGUCAGGACCGCGGGCGCACGUACGAGCGUGCGGUUGACGUUGGGAGGAGGCGCAUGUCGCCGUUCUGCUCGAGUCCGUGCUCGAGUUCGGCUACAUCAUUCCGCCGUUUGUAGCUGGCGGCUGCCAUGGCGGACGCGAAGGCGGCGUGCGGUGAGUCCAUGGCGUGUGGUGUGGUCGGGCGCGUCGGGUGCACGCGGGACGUGCGGGACGCACUGGUGCGGUUGGGCUCGUCGGGCGCGUCGGGUGUGCGCGGGACGUGCAGGGCGCAGAGGAACGCCUGACGUGUGUCGUCGGUGGAGAAGGAGCUCGGCAUGUGUUGCCGGAGUCGUGACGGAGCACGGUGCGACCGGCAUCGGUGCGCCAGGUAACGACGACAACUACGCGAGCUACAUCAACGCCGGCGACGGCGAGCACAUGGCAUGUCGCAGCGGUGCGUGGAGACGUCGACGCCCAGCCGUGUCAAGAUUAGAAGGGAAAUUGUAA